rnacentral:lncRNA from 1 species
AUGAGAUCGGGGAAUUCCCAACGGCAUCAGGAUCCCGGAAUUCCCAACGGCAUCAGGAUCCCGAGAAAUUCUGGGAAAUUCCCAAUGGGAUCAGGAUCCAAACCUGUCGUGGGCUCUUGGAAAAUCCCCAACAAUUCCAUUUCUGGACCUUUCCCUGAUCCCACCCCAGAACUCCCAGAAUCCCUGGUUAUUCCCAGAAUCCCCGGUUAUUCCCGGUUAUUCCCAGAAUCCCCGGUUAUUCCCGGCAUUCCCGGGAUUCCCGGUUAUUCCCGGGAUUACCUGUAUCCCACCCUGCGGGAGAAGUGCAGGCAGGACUCCCGCAGGUGGCUCUGGAAGUUGGCCAGCAGGAAAUCCCCAGAAUCCCCGGUUAUUCCCAGAAUCCCCGGUUAUUCCCGGUUAUUCCCAGAAUCCCCGGUUAUUCCCAGAAUCCCCGGUUAUUCCCGGUUAUUCCCGGUUAUUCCCGGUUAUUCCCGGGAUUACCUGUAUCCCACCCUGCGGGAGAAGUGCAGGCAGGACUCCCGCAGGUGGCUCUGGAAGUUGGCCAGCAGGAAAUCCCCAGAAUCCCCGGUUAUUCCCAGAAUCCCCGGUUAUUCCCAGAAUCCCCGGUUAUUCCCGGUUAUUCCCAGAAUCCCCGGUUAUUCCCGGUUAUUCCCGGUUAUUCCCGGUUAUUCCCGGCAUUCCCGGGAUUACCUGUAUCCCACCCUGCGGGAGAAGUGCAGGCAGGACUCCCGCAGGUGGCUCUGGAAGUUGGCCAGCAGGAAAUUCCCGCCCCAGAACUCCCAGAACUCCCAGAAUCCCUGGUUAUUCCCGGUUAUUCCCAGUUAUUCCCGGCAUUCCCGGUUAUUCCCGGCAUUCCCGGGAUUACCUGUAUCCCACCCUGCGGGAGAAGUGCAGGCAGGACUCCCGCAGGUGGCUCUGGAAGUUGGCCAGCAGGAAAUCCCCAGAAUCCCCGGUUAUUCCCAGAAUCCCCGGUUAUUCCCAGAAUUCCCGGUUAUUCCCAGAAUAACCAGAAUUCCCAGAUAUUCCCAGAAUCCCCGGUUAUUCCCGGUUAUUCCCGGUUAUUCCCGGCAUUCCUGGGAUUACCUGUAG